rfam:Phlebotomus papatasi Contig2626.3, whole genome shotgun sequence.
AGCUUUGCGCAGAGGCGAUAUCGUAACCAAUGAGGUUUAUCCGAGGUGCGAUUAUUGCUAGUUGAAAACUUAUGACCAAUGUCCCGCCAUACAGCUAUGAAAUACUAGCUGGUAUGGCAAUUUUUGGAAGCCCCGAAAGGGG